UCUUCCUUAUGUAUAAUGUGUACUUUUAUUUUUGUUUGGAUAUCAUCCCUGCAGUAUGAAUUGACUUCUGAUUUGUUUUCAAUUUUAGGUGCGGCCUGAGAGGGGAAUGUUGAAGCAGGUCUGUUUGCUCCAUUCCUGUUUUGUAGAGGUUCUGUACCCAGACGUGGCCUCUAUGCUCCAAUUCUUACAAGGGUGCCUUGCCUGCAGGAGCUCGUGAUGAAGCUGGAAAUACCAAUCCUAUUUGAUAUGCAGGACAGUUGCCUUGACGGUAAUGAAACUGAUGCAUUCCUGACGUGAGAGAUGGAGGAUGCCCAGGAGUCUAGAAGCUGCAGCGGAUCUGCCUUGGAUGUGGUGUGACUGAUGCUGGCAUCUUCUGGGUCGAUCAGGGACUUAUGCGCUGGGAUGGCAAACUGGAGUAGGAUCCUUGGCCAUGAGUGACUUCGUGCUGAGUGAUGGAGUUCCUACCUGAGAAACGGUGCUGAGGCAGGGUUCUCCAGGCCAGAAUGAAGAUGGGUGACUUUCAGGCACAAAUUUCAAUUUUCCAUCCUUGUUGGACUCCUGCUUCAAAAUACUGUACCCUGUUUCUGCAGGUUGUUCCUGCAGUGAAGUGUAUUUGGCUUCUGUUAAAGUGUUUAAACUGAAAUAAAUUUGACUUCAUUUUCAAAA